GUUAGGAGCGUGAGUGAGGAGGUAGAGUCGUGUUAGGAGCGUGAGUGAGGAGGUAGAGUCGUGUUAGGAGCGUGAGUGAGGAGGUAGAGCUGUGUUAGGAGCCAUGUUCGGAGCGUGAGGAGGUAGAGUCGUGUUAGGAGCGUGAGUCUGGAGGUAGUUAAUGAAGGGAUUUGCUGUGUUGUAUUUACUCAUUAUAAAGAAGAAUGGAAGACAGUGGUGUCACGCUGGUCUUAAAUCAUUAUCUUCUCAGAUAAUCCGGAUUAAAAAGUGUGUAAAGUCCAAUCUUUAACUCCUCUCAUCUACUCAGUCUGAUCACGACUAUCAAUUAAAAGGCUAAAAUAAUUUUAAAAUUAAAUAUUAAACAGAAAACUGCAGAUGAGCCAAUCAGCAUAUGAAUCUGGAAUGAUUGACAGGUGCUAUAACAAAGCAUCAUCAUCAUCGUUUAAAUCAUAUACAGCUUGUUGUUAGGUUCUAACGCUAGUUCAGUAAUGUGCUAAUGAGUGUGUAGUGAUUUAGCAGUGUUUAUCACCUCGCUAUAAUCUUUAAUAUACACAUGAGUGUGUGUGUGUGUGUGUGUGUGUGUGUGUGUGUGUGUGUGUGAGAGAGAGAGAGAGAGAGAAAGAGAGUAAUGUAAACAAGAACCCUGGACAAAAAGCCCUGUGCAACAAACUAUGUCUUCUAGAAUCAACCAUUAAAGACCCCCAGAACCUUUUGGAGUCUACAAUACACCAGCUGAGAGUUGUACAGUGGUGAGCAGUUAGUUCUUGCUUGAUUCCUCCGAUAAAGUGGUAGCAUUAGCGAAUGUGGCUGAUCUGUAGUGAGUGAUUUCAGUCUGAU
ensembl:lncRNA